rnacentral:rRNA from 1 species
GACGAACGCUGGCGGCGUGCUUAACCCCCCCCCCCCCCCCCCCCCCCCCCCCCCUUCGUGGGGUGCUCGAGUGGCGAACGGGUGAGUAACACGUGAGUAACCUGCCCUUGACUUUGGGAUAACUUCAGGAAACUGGGGCUAAUACCGGAUAGGAGCUCCUGCUGCAUGGUGGGGGUUGGAAAGUUUCGGCGGUUGGGGAUGGACUCGCGGCUUAUCAGCUUGUUGGUGGGGUAGUGGCUUACCAAGGCUUUGACGGGUAGCCGGCCUGAGAGGGUGACCGGCCACAUUGGGACUGAGAUACGGCCCAGACUCCUACGGGAGGCAGCAGUGGGGAAUAUUGCACAAUGGGCGGAAGCCUGAUGCAGCAACGCCGCGUGCGGGAUGACGGCCUUCGGGUUGUAAACCGCUUUCGCCUGUGACGAAGCGUGAGUGACGGUAAUGGGUAAAGAAGCACCGGCUAACUACGUG